UAUAAUGUUUACAGUUACAAGUUACAACUUGUAAAGUGCAAGUUGAUUUCAGGCAUUUGAUUUCUUAAACCCUAGUUUUUUUUUAACGUAUUUUUCCCAUUUAUGAGUUAUGAUAUCUAUGGAAAUUGGAUUUGGUGCCGUUUUCUGUUGUAGAAAUUGAUUUUUAUGGAAUUUUGGAGAUGAAUAAAGGGAUCAUGGUUUUGGCUGUGCUGGAUUAGAAUUUUCUUUUAACGGAAAUAUUUGGGUUGAUGGAUUAAAGUAUAGUUUAUAAAUUUGAAUGAAUGGGGUUUGACUAUUCUGGAUGGGGAUUUGAAUUUAUAAGCUGAAACCUUUGUGUUGUGAGACAUUUGAUGAUGGUGUGGAUUACUGCAUUGAGAUGAGUUUUGAUGGGUUUUAUCAUCUAAUGGAUUUAUUAAUGGUUUGAUAUUCUAAAAAAGACGAUUAAAUUUUUUCUGAACUUUUGGCCUUGGGAAAUUGAGCUUGGAAUCUGAUUUUAUAUGCCAUCAAAGGUUUGGAGGGAUUUAUCUGGACUUGAUAAUCAUGCAAUAGUUUCCACUUCAUGAAAACAUUGGCUUUGAUGAAAGGUUAUAGAUUAUUUCAAUCAUGCACAGUAUUUCAAUGCAAAUUUUUAUCGAAGUCAAGCUGUUCUUAAAAUGGACAAUUUAUGGAAACUCGGGGUCGGUGAAAUUGGGAAUCAUCAAUCAGCUUGGAAAUUUGGAAUUUUAGACAUUUAGAUUAUAUACCAUCCAGGACCCUAUAUAUAGCAUUUGAAAUUUUGUCUGCAGUUACAUUCAUUUAAUGGAAAAGUUCGGGGACGAUGAAGUGGGGUUAUUGUUGAAGAUGGUCGCAAAACAAGAUCGAAAAUCCUGUUCCCAAGUUUGUAAGCAAUGGAAGAGAGUUGAGGGGUUAAUGAAAACAUAUUUGAGGGUUCUUGAGCCAGAAUCACUUCGGAGCUUUUUGCCCAGGUUUCCAAAUUUGUUUAUGCUAGAAGCUGAGAAAGGGAUCACUGAUCUAGACCUGGAAUUCAUAGCUAAAACUUGCCCUAAUCUUGAGGUUCUUAUGUUAAUCGAAGGCAAACACAAGGUAUUCGAAUCCUCUGAGGAAUUAGUUCUAGAUGCUAUCAGUGAUGAUGGGUUAUGUGCAAUGGCCACAGGGUGUAGAAGACUAAGGAAGGUCUAUCUAAGAAGAAGAAAUUGUAUUGGGAAACGUGGUGUGACUGCACUUAUUAAAUCUUCCUUUAAUCUGACACAUCUAGACCUUUCAUGCUGUGGUAAAAUUACAGAUGAGGCUUUGGAAGCCAUUGCAGCUUCUACAUCUCUUCAGGAUCUCAAUCUUCAUGGUUGUUCCCUUAUUACUGAUACGGGUUUGGCUUCUCUUGCCACUGGUUCAUCCACUAGAACUUUAAAAAGACUGGACCUUAGUGAGUGUGACCAAAUUUCAGAUUUUGGGGUAUCUCUCUUGCGGCAAUUGACCAAUUUAGAGGAGCUGUCUCUCUCAGAGUGUGGCCCAAAACUCACAGAUACAGGAGGUGUGGCAAUUGGGGCCCUUAGUCACCUCCAGUAUUUGAAUUUUUCAUGGCUUAUAAACAUCUCGGAUAUCUCGCUCCUUGCCAUUGCACAAAAUUUACAUAAUCUUGUUCAGUUUAAUGCAACUGGUUGUGAGCUUAUUACUGGAGUUGGGAUUCGUGCAUUUUCUAGUCAUAAGUCUUUAGAAGGUCUAAUUCUGGUUUCUUGCUAUAAUGUACUGGGGGAUGAUAUUGAGCAAAUGGUGCUUCAGUGCCAGUCUUUGAGGUAUGUGUGGCUUGAUAGAAGGUUGAGAAGUUGGAUGUCUCACGAGAUGCAAGUGAACAUCAGUAGGACUUGUCGAAUCAUUUGGAGAUGAAUUGCAGAGGAUUAAUUGGUGUGGAUUUAUUAUUAUUUAGAUAAAGAAAGUAUAGCACAAUCUAGUGGAGCACUCCAUAUAGACAAUGACUAUUGGCGAUAGACCAUAGUGGGCCAUAUUAGAAUCACUCCCAGGUGUGGUUAAUCUGCAUUUUUCGUCCUCAGGAAAUGUCGGCAUACAUUGCAUCUACUGCACAGGGUUAUGCUAUACUUUCUCUUAAGCUUGCUCUUGUGAUUCGUGUUGCCGGCAAUGUCAUCAGGUGCAUAUUUUAUUGAUUGCGAGCAUGACAGGCAAAGGCAUUACUUCCGCAAAACAAAAGGAAAAUGCUUGAUAUGAGGAAUAAAAGAUUCAGGUGGAGGGAGUGAGAUAAAAAAACACUGGUGAGUGGGGAGGUAAUCGGGAGGGAGAAGCAAGAAAUAAGAGCAUAGAAUGAGAUGAAGAAGAGAAACAGAGUGACACUGAAAUUCUUAUUGAAACAAAGAGAGAGAGAGAGAGAGAGAGAGGAGAAAAUUUUAUGGAAUUAAAAAGAGAGAGAAAAAAAGAGAGAUUCUUGCUGCUUGCACCCAAAUGUUUAUUUGUAACCUGAUUGUUGAUCUCACCCCAUGGGCAUGUGCGAGAGAGACCAUGUUGAUAGCCAG